UACGGAGGGGGCUAGCGUUGUUCGGAAUUACUGGGCGUAAAGCGCACGUAGGCGGAUUUGUUAGUCAGGGGUGAAAUCCCGGGGCUCAACCUCGGAACUGCCUUUGAUACUGCAAAUCUCGAGUCCGGAAGAGGUGAGUGGAAUUCCUAGUGUAGAGGUGAAAUUCGUAGAGAUUAGGAAGAACACCAGUGGCGAAGGCGUCUCACGGGUCCGGCAAUGACGCUGAGGUGCGAAAGCGUGGGGAGCAAACAGG
rnacentral:rRNA from 1 species